rnacentral:lncRNA from 1 species
GAUAAAGUUUAUUUAAGCAAAAAUCAGGUAUGAAUUUAAUUAACUACCCACGCCACCACAAAACCUAAUUCCCAUCAUCGUGACCCCAUCUCUAUUUUCCACUCUAUCACAACGAGACGCUUCUCUCACAUAGGACGAUUAUCUUCUCCCCGUCUCUCCUCUCACAUAGGACAUUAGUGAGGCGCUCCUCUCGCGCGAUGAUGUUGAAGAUGGGAAAUGGCAAGAGGCGGUCUGGUGUGUGGUAGUGUUGCUGGUACUGUGUGCGGUACUGAUACAUCUGUUAGUGUUCGGGGCCAUUUUCUUCAAUGGCAUCCAGGCGUUUGAUUGGGAGCUUGUCAAUCGAUAAUUCAAUAUCUCCAUCAAUUUUUCUUAUUGCUGGGAGAAUGUAAAUUGGAGCCUCCUACGGCUACUGUUGGAUGGAAAAGUUGGGGGUUGCUGGUGGUGAUUGUUGAGGUCAGGGAAUUGAUAGGUGAUUUAGGCAGAGAAGUUGGGGAUUUUUUCGAAAUUAGGAUUUUUUUUCAAAAGAUGUGCUGCAUCGCUGCUUUUUAGAUCGAAG